rnacentral:rRNA from 1 species
AGAGUUUGAUCCUGGCUCAGGAUGAACGCUGGCGGCGUGCCUAACACAUGCAAGUCGAACGGACUUAUAACGAAACCUAGUGAAUUAUAAGUUAGUGGCGGACGGGUGAGUAACGCGUGGAAAACCUGCCGUAUACUGGGGGAUAACACUUAGAAAUAGGUGCUAAUACCGCAUAAGCGCACAGCUUCGCAUGAAGCAGUGCGAAAAACUCCGGUGGUAUACGAUGGUUCCGCGUCUGAUUAGCUAGUUGGUGAGGUAAAAGCCCACCAAGGCAACGAUCAGUAGCCGGCCUGAGAGGGUGAACGGCCACAUUGGGACUGAGACACGGCCCAGACUCCUACGGGAGGCAGCAGUGGGGGAUAUUGCACAAUGGGGGAAACCCUGAUGCAGCGACGCCGCGUGAGUGAAGAAGUAUUUCGGUACGUAAAGCUCUAUCAGCAGGGAAGAAUAAUGACGGUACCUGACUAAGAAGCCCCGGCUAACUACGUG